UCUCCCCCCAAAUACAUCAUUGUCAACAGGAAAAACAUUCUAAUGGCUGCUGCCCUGGGGGUGCACAAUGAUUGGCUGUUUUUGCUUGGCAAUCUUUUCAGUACCUGCUAACACCUUUUAUGUAUUCCGUAAAAUCCUGACUUGUGGAAACACAUUUAAAUGGAAUGGCUUUGGGAUGAUGGAAAUUCUUUAAGAUGACAGUUUGGACGAAUGAGUUUGUCCAGUGUGAACAUCCUCUCUAGUCCGUGCCUACAGGGGUCUGGAUUGGACUCCAGCGAGCCCUGACACCUGCUUACCAGCAGUGGACUCCAGAGACUCCGUCAAUCUCCUCUAGUGUCACGGAGAAGCUGUCUUAUCCUAGUUGAGGUUUCAGAAUGAGGGAAGUGCGAGUUGCCUGCCACUCGCUUGGUCCAGCCACAUUCAGGGUACCGAGGGCUGGUUUCUGAUCCUCGCUUAAGAGGAGAGAGAUGCUCAGGUGGGCGCCCGACGGGACAGCAGCUGUCUCUCUACUCCAAAGCACUCCCCCCACUCCAGGAAGGGAACAGAGUCGGAUGUCCUCCAGUGACUAGACAGUUCUCAUUCAUGUCCUCCCACAUACUCACUGACCUCUGCUCAUCUCCCUCCAUCAGUUACCCCAUGGCGAGACGUUGGAGGGGAUUAGAUAAAUUUCCAUUUUGCUGGACAGUUGAAAUGGAGAUAUUGCAGUGGUUGAGAAGAUGCCAGCAGUGGACGUCCAGACCAUGUCCGUGCUGUCUGGCACCUUAGCCACUGUACACCUGUGGCUAUUAAAUUGGAGUUUAGUCUUACUAGAGAUUCUGUUUAUCACUUGCACUGCCUACAUUUUGAAUGCCCUGUAACCACAAAUGAAGACUAUUUCCACCAUUACAAAAAUAUUUCGUUUGACAGCAGUGAACAAGUAUCCCUGCUACCAAAAUGUGGUCCAUGGGCCAUCAAUCAGCAUUAAUGUCACCAGGGAGCUUAUGAAAAUGUAGACUGUUGGAGCUGACAAGAUGGUUUCAACAGGUCUGGCGACAGGUUUGAUGCCAAAUGCCGUAUAAAAGUGGAGAGAGAGACACUUACAGACUGUCCUCUGACCUCCAUCUUCCCGCCAUGGUGUCCUCACCCACAUCCACACAAUUAAAGGUACAUUCUUUAAAAGCAGAACUUCAUAUUCACUCCCUGUCUGCUUCUGGAGUCUUCCUCCUGGUGAGGGAUUCCUGGGGCCUCUCUCCAGCCCUUGGGGACAUUAAGCUUCCCUGAUCCCACACUUGGCUUAGCUUGGUCUUACUCAGUUGCUCAUGACUUAAUUCACGCCAACCGUUUCAGAAGAACAUGGCCUGAGAUAAAGAUUAGGCAGUCUCUUUCAACUUGCAUGUUCUCAUUUUCUUGUAUCAGUAGAGUGUCCUGUGGACAUACUUCAUGCUCGAAGGGACGUAGCGGCCCGUGCACACUAAAUGGGUCAUUAAGUAUGCAAAAGGAAAAAAAAAAGAACCAGAAUGAUUGUAAGAAAGCUGAGUGUGCCGCUUGAACUCUGAAAGCAGGCAUAUUUUUGCUAGAUUUGGAUCUCUGUAUCUUACGAUAACUUCUCUUGAUUUGCAUGUGGUUCAUAAUCCCUUAAAAAUAACUGCUAGCGGCAAUAUCUUCUUGGCCUCCAAAUUCAAAUGAAUUCUAUACCGAGAUCUUUUUCCAGUGAUUUAUUGUCAGGAAUCUGUCCCUUAAUUAUUUUUAUUAUAAAUUACCCAAAUG
rnacentral:lncRNA from 1 species